CCUACGUGGGGCAGCAGUGGGGAAUAUUGCACAAUGGGGGAAACCCUUAUGCAGCGACGCCGCGUGAGUGAAGAAGUAUUUCGGUUUGUAAAGCUCUAUCAGCAGGGAAGAACAUGUCGGUGCCUGAUUAAGAAGCCCCGGCUAACUCCGUGCCAGCCGCCGCGUUAAUACGAAGGGGGCGAGCGUUAUACGGAUUUACUGGGUGUAAAGGGGGCGUAGACGGCAGCACCAGUCUUGAGUGAAAUGCCGGGGCUUAACCCCGGAACUGCUUUGGAGACUGUGCAGCUAGAGUGCAGGAGAGGUAAGUGGAAUUCCUAGUGUAGCGGUGAAAUGCGUAGAUAUUAGGAGGAACACCAGUGGCGAAGGCGGCUUACUGGACUGUAACUGACGUUGAGGCUCGAAAGCGUGGGGAGCAAACAGGAUUAGAUACCCUGGUAGUC
rnacentral:rRNA from 1 species